UACAGAGGGGGCAAGCGUUGUUCGGAAUUACUGGGCGUAAAGGGCGCGUAGGCGGCGUGACAAGUCACUUGUGAAAUCUCCGGGCUUAACUCGGAGCGGCCAAGUGAUACUGUCGUGCUAGAGUGCGGAAGGGGCUACUGGAAUUCUCGGUGUAGCGGUGAAAUGCGUAGAUAUCGAGAGGAACACCUGCGGCGAAGGCGGGUAGCUGGGCCGACACUGACGCUGAGGCGCGAAAGCCAGGGGAGCGAACGGG
rnacentral:rRNA from 1 species